GAUGAACGCUGGCGGCGUGCCUAAUACAUGCAAGUCGAGCGAACAGACGAGGAGCUUGCUCCUCUGACGUUAGCGGCGGACGGGUGAGUAACACGUGGAUAACCUACCUAUAAGACUGGGAUAACUUCGGGAAACCGGAGCUAAUACCGGAUAAUAUAUUGAACCGCAUGGUUCAAUAGUGAAAGACGGUUUUGCUGUCACUUAUAGAUGGAUCCGCGCCGCAUUAGCUAGUUGGUAAGGUAACGGCUUAACAAGGCGACGAUGCGUAGCCGACCUGAGAGGGUGAUCGGCCACACUGGAACUGAGACACGGUCCAGACUCCUACGGGAGGCAGCAGUAGGGAAUCUUCCGCAAUGGGCGAAAGCUUGACGGAGCAACGCCGCGUGAGUGAUGAAGGUCUUCGGAUCGUAAAACUCUGUUAUUAGGGAAGAACAAAUGUGUAAGUAACUAUGCACGUCUUGACGGUACCUAAUCAGAAAGCAACGGCUAACUACGUG
rnacentral:rRNA from 1 species